AUUGAACGCUGGCGGCAUGCUUUACACAUGCAAGUCGAACGGCAGCGCGGGCUUCGGCCUGGCGGCGAGUGGCGAACGGGUGAGUAAUACAUCGGAACGUGCCCAGUAGUGGGGGAUAGCUCGGCGAAAGCCGGAUUAAUACCGCAUACGACCUGAGGGUGAAAGCGGGGGAUCUUCGGACCUCGCGCUAUUGGAGCGGCCGAUGGCAGAUUAGCUAGUUGGUGGGGUAAAGGCCUACCAAGGCGACGAUCUGUAGCUGUCUGAGAGGACGACCAGCCACCGGGGGAAUGAGACACGGCCCAGCCCCCUAGGGGAGGCAGCGGUGGGGAUUUUUGGACAAGGGGGGAAAGCCUGACCCAGCAAUGCCGGGGGUGUGAUGAAGGCCUUCGGGUGGAAAAGCACUUUGGGGGGGAACAAAAAGGACUGGGCAAAAACCACGGUUCGAUGACGGAACCCGAAGAAUAAGCACCGGCUAACUCCGU
rnacentral:rRNA from 1 species